GCCGCUCUGGCGCAAUGGUAGCGCGCAAGACUUCUAUUGCUAUUCUAGGCAUGUGUAAAUCUUGAGGCUGUGGGUUCGAGCCCCACGAGUGGUU
rnacentral:tRNA from 1 species